rnacentral:misc_RNA from 1 species
GUCUCUGGGCUAUCAUCUGUGUU